AGUGUCUGGUGGGUAGUUUGACUGGGGCGGUCUCCUCCUAAAGAGUAACGGAGGAGCACGAAGGUUGGCUAAUCCUGGUCGGACAUCAGGAGGUUAGUGCAAUGGCAUAAGCCAGCUUGACUGCGAGCGUGACGGCGCGAGCAGGUGCGAAAGCAGGUCAUAGUGAUCCGGUGGUUCUGAAUGGAAGGGCCAUCGCUCAACGGAUAAAAGGUACUCCGGGGAUAACAGGCUGAUACCGCCCAAGAGUUCAUAUCGACGGCGGUGUUUGGCACCUCGAUGUCGGCUCAUCACAUCCUGGGGCUGAAGUAGGUCCCAAGGGUAUGGCUGUUCGCCAUUUAAAGUGGUACGCGAGCUGGGUUUAGAACGUCGUGAGACAGUUCGGUCCCUAUCUGCCGUGGGCGCUGGAGAACUGAGGGGGGCUGCUCCUAGUACGAGAGGACCGGAGUGGACGCAUCACUGGUGUUCGGGUUGUCAUGCCAAUGGCACUGCCCGGUAGCUAAAUGCGGAAGAGAUAAGUGCUGAAAGCAUCUAAGCACGAAACUUGCCCCGAGAUGAGUUCUCCCUGACCCUUUAAGGGUCCUGAAGGAACGUUGAAGACGACGACGUUGAUAGGCCGGGUGUGUAAGCGCAGCGAUGCGUUGAGCUAACCGGUACUAAUGAAC
rnacentral:rRNA from 1 species